rnacentral:lncRNA from 1 species
UUAUUACUAUGAUCGUAAAUCAUGGGUUUGCCUCGAACAAAAAUUUUGUUACUGGUCUGACGCAGCGACAAUCGUGGACGAUGUGCUGUAUACUGCCUGUAGGGCCCAAUUUUAUGACCUGAGGCCCAACAACAAAGCCCAACUACCCAGGCCCAAAUACAACACCCAAAGCCCACCUAAACCUAACCCACUAGCCUAAAACGAGCCCAAUUUAGCCUACCCAAAACCCAUUACCCAAUAACCAACCUAAAUGGUCUAAAUCAGAAAAAAAACCCUAGCCCCUAACCAAGUGGUGCCGCACCCUACCCCUAGCCACUGCCACCGCCGCCCGUCACGAUCACAUCGCCACCAACCGCCGCCUGCAGCACCUGCAAAGCACCCAUAACACGCAAGCAAAAAACAAAUCAAAAACAACAAAAAAAUAGAAAAUUAAAGUUGUGUAAAUCGACUAUAAAAGCCUGAAUCUGAUGCUUGUAGAGCUUCUUCCCUUUUUUUUACGAAUAUGAAAUAAAAAAAACAAAAAAUAGCAUAUUUGAGAAGUUUUUUACUUUCAUGUUCGAAUCUUAUUUAUUUUUCUAUUUUAUUUUCAUUUUUUUACGUACUAAAUAAUGAAAUAAGGGGAGAGGGAAUACCUGGCUCACUUGAAAACCGGUCGCCUGAGUCCUUCUGGUCAUCGGAGUCGGGACCGGAGAAGGCACAGGGUCUUCUUCUUUCGGCCUUGAAGCCUAGAAGGCUAGGCCUUCAAGCCCCUUUAAAUCGGGCUAAAAAAGAUAAAAUGACCUUUGGGGCCGCAUGUCGCUGCUCGCGGCGGCGGACUGUGACGGCGCGGACAACGACCAUGUUGGCCGAGUUUUGAGGGCUGCGAGGGGAGAGCGUUGAAAGCUCUCAGUUUUUUAGAUGGGGGAGUUAAAACUGAUUUUUUUUUUUUCUGUUUUUCAGCAUUUAUAUUGGGGGCCAUACGGCGCCAUUUUGAGCCUUAGCAACCAUGGCCAAAACGACGCCAUUUUCAAUCUGACCCGCGCAUCGACCUGACCCGUAGCAAGGUCCGCGUGUUUUUGUGCUAUAUGGGCUAUUUGCGCUGCGGGUACUUCCACAUUGUCACCCCCUUUC